CAACAAAGAUGCAGCAGCAAACCAAGCUUGGAUGGGGCAAAGUAGAUGAAGAUAAGAGAAGAGAGAAAUAGGGAGACGAUUAAUGCUCAUCUUCUACCUCUUCUGGUACGCUGCCAUCGCCGUUCAACUCACCAUCUCAUGACUCAAUCGGUUUCUCGUGAAAUCGCUUAGAAAUGCUUCUUGGGAGCUUGGUAUUUAGAAAUUGCAUAUCCGAAGAUGAAUGACACCGAUGUCCAGAAGCAUAUCCAAUAGAUGGUUAGAUUCAUCCGCCAAGAAGCGAAGGAAAAGGCUAACAAGAUCUCUGUUGCCGCCAAAGAAGGGCAUACUGCUAGAAAGGUUUUGAAGCAUGGUCUUCAACCAGGGGAACUAGCCCUCAUUUCUAAAGAAACGGUGGCUCCUUAUGAAUGCGCUGCUCUCAGCAAGGCUUACCUCUUUCCAAAAGGUGAGUAGAUAAAUUCAGUAUAUAACAAUUUUAUAAUAAUUUCAACUAUAUGUUAUUUUUGCUGAUAAGUCAGUCCAGUUUAAGUUAUUGCUCGAGUUGAAGCUCUAUCUAUUGACUAUCGGUGUUAAUCUUGGAUAAUGCACUUUCACUAGAUCAUAAGGUAUCCACAUUGACACUUUGAUGCAUCUAUUAAGCAAUUGCUGAUUUUUCACUACCUAGCACUAGCUAAGUUUGAUUAAUGGAUUUACUUUGUUAUAUGACUGUUGUCACAAAUUUUCUGGAUAUGCUAUUGACAAUGUGAAUUGGGUUUUACAAGUACUGCUACACUUCCUUGGUUCCAUACAUGUGUUAAAAGUGGAGGGGAGCGACUUCUUCCUAAGUGGUAUACUGAAAAAGGUGUUAGUGUAUCAUGAUCUUCUG